AGGCUGCAAUCCUCUCUGCUGACAAGGGAGCAAGUUUCUAGGAUUUGGUUAAAUAACCAGGAAAACGCUUCCUUAAAAUUUCCCCUCCCCGGCAGCGUCCCCGCUGUCCCCAUGGUGUGGCGAGGGGCAGCGCUGUGGGUGCCGAGCGCUGGGGCCCUGCGUGACAUUUCCCCGGGGGGCCGAGAGCUCGGUCCCGUUCCGUGGGCUGCGUUUGCAGUGGGGAAAUUUCCCCUCUAGAUGGCGGAAAGGGCAGCAGGAAAAACGCAGGGGGCCCACGCUGCGGAGCGUUCAAACGCGGAGGUGCGCGACUGCGGCGCUCGCCCCGCUCCGAGGGUCCCCGCGGCCACCGCUCGGGAUCCGAGGAGCCGCGGCCAGAUGGAAAAAGCAGAUGGAAAAAAGGGCCCAGCAGCCGGAGCCCCAAGGCACCCCCAGCUGUAGGGUUGCCAGCCCCAAAUCCAGGCUGCGGGAGAGGACAGCGAGGGGACCGCCGCGCGCUGGCUGCUGCCGCCUUACCCUGAGCCACCCGCCCGCAACGCCACAGAGAGCAGGGCUGGGGCCGGCGGCGCAGCAGGGAUUUUCCCCCCAGGGGCUGCGGUUAUGCGGUGAGGACCCGCACCUUUUUUUCCUGGCUGUGAGAGGUUA
rnacentral:lncRNA from 1 species